rnacentral:lncRNA from 1 species
GUCAAACACAUGGUUUCCAUGUGUCCGAUACCAUUCCAUUUACUCCUUUUCAGACAUUGUUAUGAGCCGUCCUGUGACAUUACAAGUUACAACAUUACUUAGUCAAAUUACCUUAAUACACCCACACUCAAUCAAUCACAUUUAUUUUAUAAAGCCCUUUUAACAUCACAAAGUGUUUUACAGAUUCCCAGCCUAAAACCCCACAGAGCAAUGCAGAUGCACAAUGCUCUACAAUGGUUUUUCCUUUCUCUGUUUACAGGUGCUAAUUUCUGCAUACCGGAAGGAGAGUCUGAGUGCCAUGUUUAAAACCGGUUUCUAUAUCAACGACCUGAGUAUGCAUGAGUCCAGUAGAGCCCUGGUACUGGCACUAUAAAGGGAAUAGGGUGCGACCUACGGUUGAGACCAUAGGUCAUGCAUGGUGGUGGCGGGGGGCUCCAGAGAAGACCAUGCCCACAACAUCUGUGACAUGGUGGCGGCUGGGGUAUUGGGUCAUAAAAGGCCAUGAUACAGUCUCCAUGGCGAUACAGUCCACACUGCAUCAGAGAGAGAGAUUCUGUUUAUGGCUAUCUCACAACACAGCUGGAAGACGAAGGCCAUCAUUACUGAAAUUAUUUCCAAAUCACUGCCAUCAAAACAUUAUUAUAUUCUGUAAUCAGAUGUUUUUGUAACAUGAUACUCCCUGCCGUUGAACCAAUUUGUUGCAAAGGUUUCUGAAAAAAUCUGAGAACGAGAGAACAAAUAUAUUAUUGUGUGAACUAUUUUAAUCAACAUCACCCUAAACUGUCAAUCACAAACCCUAGCUUGGUGUUGGGGCUCUGUCAUCACUGGUCUGUCUUUGAGUCUGUGCAUUAAAUUAAGUGCUAAAGUCAAUGACUGCUAAAGGUUUGUGAGCCAGCUAAUCGAUCAUCAGGAGGCAGCAGUGACUCACCUUCUCACCAAAGGCUCUCUGACCGUCUGCUCUCUGCAACUUUAAUGAUCAACAUCCCAGCUGUCCAUUAAAACCAACACUUCUCAUCACUUACUCACAGAGCGUGUCCGUGUUUGUUUGUGUCUGUGGGUUUCUCAAAAUGAAUACUACUGUGCUCCGAGCACAGGAGGGUCGGAGUAUGUGUCCAACUUGAAGUUUGCGAAACGGAGCACGGAGGGCACUUCUCGAAAUGUGUAGUCCGUUUGAAUGUAUUUUGAAGCAUGCAUCAAUGCAAGCUUCAACUGAAAGUAUGCAAAGACAUAUGAUCCAACCACAUAAAAAAUGACGCAAAAUUUCUUGAAAUCAAUUGUGGCCAUUAUUUGAGCUGAAGUUUACUCCAAUUAGGGGAGGUGUGGUAGGCUUAGGGGAAUAUAAUGAAGGAAAAUAUAUUUCCACUCCCCCAUAUAUUUUUUUGUGUAAAUGUAUACGCUACCAUUAAAAAGCUUGG